rnacentral:rRNA from 1 species
UACAUGGGGUGCAAACGUUGCUCGGAAUUAUUGGGCGUAAAGCGCACGUAGGCGGUCCGUUAAGUCAGAUGUGAAAGCCCCCGGCUCAACCCUGGAAGGCCGGUGGAAACUGUCGGGCUAGAGUCCGGAAGAGGCGAGUGGAAUUCCCGGUGUAGCGGUGAAAUGCGCAGAUAUCGGGAGGAACACCAAUGGCGAAGGCAGCUCGCUGGGACGGUACUGACGCUGAGACGCGAAAGCGUGGGGAGCAAACAGG